AAUAUUUGUUGCUUUUGUCAAUCUCUACAUAUAAUUAAAAAACAUUAUUUAGUGUACAUCCGUAAUAAUAAAGGUUACUGCGUAUUAUGCGCGUGCAAAGGGCUCUGUGACAUAGGGCAGUUGUUCUGAGAGGUUAUUCGGCAACAUAUUCCAUUGAUCAAGUUUAGAUAUGGUGUUGGGAAGAAAUCUCAUGGCUUAAAUCGGAUGAUUUCAGGUGCAUCCGAUACACCAGCACCACAGCAAGCAUCUGCCUUGGCUGCACCACUACAGGCAGCUGUCACAACACCAUCCACACUGGAUCCAGUUGGACCAGCGAUCGGUAACACAAUGCGUGGCUCUGGGAUUCCAUUUGUAGAUCUUCCUGUACGUUUUCAAAGGAAACCAAUCAGUGAAGAGGAACUUGAAUAUAUCAAUGGGAGAGGGGAUCCAAACUGAAGGAAGUUCCAUUCUGAUCCAGGCUGUUGAAAUGUACUACAUGUUGACAGCUCUUGUGUUGCUUCGUUUGUUAGUAAAUGUAAAUAGAUUUGGUUUUUGAAAUGAAAUCAGUCCAACUUUAUUAAUAAUUAUAUGAGGACAGGUCUCGUCAUUUUUGAAAUGUUUGUUUAUUUAUGAGGUUGAUUAUAAAUAGUAGGAACAAAUAGAAAUUUGGGUUGUGCACAGAGUACAUAACCAAGAUUGAUCGGUGACAUAUUCUGUACUGGACUUUCUGUCACUAGCUUGACCGAUUUUCUUGUUUGCUCAUAGGAAACAUUAUCCACUCAGCUUAUCAAGAAGCUUGUAGUAAAACCAUUUUUUGGCAAUGAAAUUCAGAUGAGAGUUCUGCGUGUUAAAAAUUGUUAUUAUAAAAUAAACUGAUAUGAAAUACUAA
rnacentral:misc_RNA from 1 species